ACUCAAGUGGUGCAGUGGUUUGAGUGUUGGACUACGGCUCUGGAGUGCAGGGUUCGAAUCCCAGCUCGGCCA